AGUGAACGCUGGCGGCAGGCCUAACACAUGCAAGUCGAGCGGCAGCGCGGGGGCAACCCUGGCGGCGAGCGGCGGACGGGUGAGGAAUUCGUCGGAAUCUGCCUUUUUGUGGGGGAUAACGUAGGGAAACUUACGCUAAUACCGCAUACGUCCUACGGGAGAAAGUGGGGGACCGCAAGGCCUCACGCAGAAAGAUGAGCCGACGACCGAUUAGCUAGUUGGUGGGGUAAAGGCCCACCAAGGCGACGAUCGGUAGCUGGUCUGAGAGGAUGAUCAGCCACACUGGGACUGAGACACGGCCCAGACUCCUACGGGAGGCAGCAGUGGGGAAUAUUGGACAAUAGGCGCAAGCCUGAUCCAGCCAUGCCGCGUGUGUGAAGAAGGCCUUCGGGUUGUAAAGCACUUUUGUCCGGAAAGAAAUCCCUGGAGCUAAUACCUUCGGGGGAUGACGGUACCGGAAGAAUAAGCACCGGCUAACUUCGUG
rnacentral:rRNA from 1 species